AUGGGAACGCGAAGAACCUUACCUAGACUUGACAUCUCCUGAAUAGUGUAGAGAUACAUGAAGCCCUUCGGGGCAGGAAGACAGGCGGUGCAUGGUUGUCGUCAGCUCGUGUCGUGAGAUGUUGGGUUAAGUCCCGCAACGAGCGCAACCCUUAUUACUAGUUGCUACCAUUAAGUUGAGCACUCUAGUGAGACUGCCCGGGUUAACCGGGAGGAAGGCGGGGAUGACGUCAAAUCAUCAUGCCCCUUAUGUCUAGGGCAACACACGUGCUACAAUGGUGAGUACAGAUAGAUGCGAUACCGCAAGGUGGAGCCAAACUCUAAAACUCAUCCCAGUUCGGAUUGUAGGCUGCAACUCGCCUACAUGAAGUUGGAGUUGCUAGUAAUCGCGAAUCAGAAUGUCGCGGUGAAUACGUUCCCGGGUCUUGUACACACCG
rnacentral:rRNA from 1 species